UAGAGCUACUGAUGACGCGCUCUCAAUGCGAUGACGGAAUGCUGGCCACAUUAUUUUAGCAAACAUAGAGUCCGAUGCAUAUUAUGACAAUUGGGACCUUGGGUAAUGUGUGAAUUCCAAUAGAAUUAAACAAGUGUGUACCCGAGAAUUCCCCUACAGUAAAACAGAUUUUCGAUUAUGCCUGAGUAUUUGCGGCUGCUCUACGAACUAAAUUUGCAGGUUUAUGCGUCUGCGCCGAGAAACAAAAUUACAUCUGUGAGUCUGGGUGGAACUGGGUCCAGAAGCACUGUCAUUUAGACAAGAGGAAGUCAUUUUUUUCCUUGAAAUAAACUUAAAAUGUAAGAAAUUUGAAGAUGCAUUAUUUUUUCAUAUUUAAACAUACCCACUUAAUCUGUCCGAUAUUGAAUUGAUAGUACACAAUAUAUCAGUAGCGUAGCAUGGGUUCGUUUUUAUUAUGGCGAUUACGGCUUGAUCUCGAGAUUUAUUAGUAUAAAUCUCGAGAUCAAGCCUAGCGAGUAAUUACCUAGUGGUAAGAACACCUCCCGCUUAAAACCUGAAUUAGGGCCAGUAUAACGAGGUCGACUGUUGAGGGAUAAUUUUCUCUCGUCAACUCCACUUAACAUCAUAUCAUCAUAUAAAACACUCAUCAAUCUUUAAUGACGUUACUGAUAAAUUUUAAGAUAAGUUAAGCAUAUGAAGAAUUAAAUCUAAGCUGCUACGCCAGAGCCCAAAGAGACAUGUGUCAUCCUAUUCAUAGAAAUUUCCGAGUGUCUUUCCAAAUCCCAAUCAGUCUAUCCACUUAUUUACAAUAAUUUUAGACUCUGUAAAUAAAAGUACGGUUUACUCAAAGAAAAAAGUUGACUGUAAAAUAUAUUGAUAUGAGAUAAAAUUUACUUUUAAUAUUGUACUUGUUUAUAUAGUUGCAUUGCGGUAAGACCGGAUCACAGGAAAACACCGUUCUUUAGACAUUCUGUUGUUACCUCACGAUAAGAAACAGAAGUGCCGUGUGUGAAGUGUUACCUACACAUAACAAAAUGGCACUUACGGCUGUGUUGUCCAUAUUAGGAAAUUUUGUCCCCGCUUAGAAAUAAUUUUAAAUCAAUACAAUUAUCCCGUCAUCCGGUCUUACCGCAACUAACUCUAAAAGUGCAAUAUUAUAAUAAUAAUAUAAGCUUAUAUUGCAUUAUUAUGUAUAUCUUUAUUAUGUUCUCUCAUCA